rnacentral:rRNA from 1 species
UGGGGAAUUUUGGACAAUGGGGGCAACCCUGAUCCAGCCAUUCCGCGUGAGUGAAGAAGGCCUUCGGGUUGUAAAGCUCUUUCGGCAGGAACGAAACGGCGAGCUCUAACAUAGCUUGCUAAUGACGGUACCUGAAGAAGAAGCACCGGCUAACUACGUGCCAGCAGCCGCGGUAAUACGUAGGGUGCGAGCGUUAAUCGGAAUUACUGGGCGUAAAGCGUGCGCAGGCGGUUAUAUAAGACAGAUGUGAAAUCCCCGGGCUCAACCUGGGACCUGCAUUCGUGACUGUAUAGCUAGAGUACGGUAGAGGGGGAUGGAAUUCCGCGUGUAGCAGUGAAAUGCGUAGAUAUGCGGAGGAACACCGAUGGCGAAGGCAAUCCCCUGGGCCUGCACUGACGCUCAUGCACGAAAGCGUGGGGAGCAAACA